GUUAAUAUUAUUAUUGGUACCAGAAUUAUUGUUAGAAUCCUAUAGUUGCUGAGGGACCUCUGGAGGUCAUCUCAUCCUGGGACAGAGUUAAAUGGGAUUGCUCUGCCCAUGUCUAGUCAAAAAGAAAAAAAAAGAUUGUGGCAGCUGUACUGCACUCAAAGAUCUGAGACUUCGUUUAGCAUUGCACUUUAAAAUGUAGGAUGAGUUUUACCUUGUUUGACAGAAAUAUAAAGAACUAUGAAAAUAAUAUCUAGUACCAGAAUGCUAGGUUGAUGUCUCCUCUGCUGGAGCACGCACCUUCCUAACAGUUAGAUGCUUGAAUUCAGUGAAUUCACAAGGAAGAAGAAUCACAAAGUUGGGAAAGAUCUCAAAGAUCAUCCAGUCCAAUUGUCCACCUGUCACCAAUAUUUCCCACUAAACUAUGUCCCUCAGUACAACAUCUAAAUGUUGCUUGAACACCUCCAGGGUCUGUGACUCCACCACCUCUCUGGGCAGCCCGUUCCAGUGACUGAUCACUCUUUCAGAGGAGAUUUUCCUAAUGUACGAUCUAAGUUUUCCUUGCAUCAUUUUGUAUGUAUUAGCUGUUUGCAGAACUUGAUAUUACUUGGUAGAUAUGUGACAAAAACACCAGUGUAAAGUGAUAGAAUUUUUACUGAUGACACAUGGACCACAUUUAUUUAAAGUUGCAUCAGAUACAUCUCAACACACAGACCUACUUAUUUACACAGUGGACUAUACUGAAGUAGUGAUGAAAGGGAAUAUUUUUCAAGCUCAAAUAUGUCAUUGUUUAUGUCACCUGGAAGAAAUAAUAGAUCUGAUUAUGUUCUGUGCUAUCGAGACUGAUGACAAUGAAGUUUACUGUCAUUGACAAGCCCUACUAAAGCUACUGAUUGGAAGUGUCCUCUUGUAACUUUUAAGACAACAUGGAUUGUAGAUUUGGUAUAAUUUACAGAGUUUUCCCCUGAAUUUUUUCUUACUGUGAUGCUUGUCUUUUUAAUUUGAAUGAAAAUCUCCUCUGUGCAGUUAGACUGUUUCCUUGUGCUCAUUCUUAAGGGUGUAGCAAUCAUUGCACUGGGAUAUCAGGAAUUCUGAGUCUUUUAGUGUUUUUUUAUUUGAAAUAGCUUUUUGUAGCUGCAGCUAUUAUAAUAAAUCUUUUCAGUCAAUACCAUCGUAGUUUUUAAAAUUCAUUAGGGAAAUGUCUGGAUUUUCUAUAUGUAGAAAAGUAUUCACCAGCAUCUACUGGGAGAUGUAUUUCACAGUCUCACUGUCAUAUUUAGCAGGUUGGGUCUCUGUCCUCUGUUCUCUCCUCUAGCAGCUAUUUGAAGCUGCUCAGGAGUUUGGAACGUUAGACUAACUUCUACGGAGCUGGAUUAGCAGGCAAGUGAUUCCAUCAUGAGUAUGACAUCUCUCCAAUUUUUCAUGUGGAUAUUACCUCUGCAUAUACAGAACAUGUGUGUUACAUACAUGUAUCUUCCAGAAAGUCCAGACAGCUGUAUUUUUGUUGAUAAUAUAAAACAACAUCAGUCAGGUGGCAGGGAAAAAUAAUGCAUUUCAUGAAUUUAUUAAAGACAGUAUAAGUAUCCAUUUGCAUUCUAACUAUGACGAUGUAGUUCUGAAAUUACUACUUUUUCCCUGUAAAAUUAUCCUUUCUACAAAGAAUGAACAUUUUAGCUCUGCAAAGGAGGGAAAAAAGUGUAUAUUCAUAACAGUAUGACAAGAAGGUAUUAUAGUCUGUAAGGUCAGGAGUGUGAUGAAUGUCAUUUACUUUUGCCCCAAAUGUCCUGGAUCUAGAAGUUGAGAUAGCAGUGGUAGCCCACACUAGCACAAAACUAAGUUUUCAGACCGCCUGCGUGGGGGUGCAUAUGGACCGUGUGAUGUCAAAGAGGAUUUCUAUUGUCUCCCUCAUGCAUUGUAGGGGGCUUUUUGUGAGGAGUCAAAGCUGUUAACGUGCUAUUUCUGCAACACAGGGCAAGAAGAUUUCUGUAGCUGUGUUAUCUCACAGAAAGAGGCAGCUGUACGAAAAUGAAUGUGAGGAGAACAACAUGAGCACACAGUUUCAUAGGCCAUACAUGUGUUGGAAGGACUGUUCUAAAAGGCUGAGAUAGAAAUGUAGAGUACUUUGCACCUGGGAAAGGAGUUCUAGGCUUUGAAUGGAGUUCUAAAUUUCCACAAUCCCAAUUACACGAUUCAAGUGCCCGUUAAGAGAGGGACCUAGACUCAUCAAUGUUGAUCUUUAACUCUUUUGUCAUCUUAAAGUGGGAUAGUGGGUAGAACUCUGUUCAAUGAAGAUUUAUUCAGUACCAUUCUGAAAAACAAGUUGCUAUUUUGCAGUGUGUUAAGUUAUGAGCCUAUGAAGCAUGGGAUCCAAAGUUAUAGUCAGUUUGCUAAAGAUAAUUAGCAUCAGUUAAAUUAAUUCCAGCUGCAAAGUAUUGCAUGUAAAUGAUAUAAGAACACUUCAAUAAAAUUUUGUGCCUGCUUCAAGAAUAAUGAAGCAUUCCUAAACUAUCUUGCAUUCAAAGUUUUCCUAAUUUUUCUUAUUAUUGAAAUAACAAAAUGCUAGCUGUCUAUAUGUGUAUAGAGAAUUGGGUAUCUAGCUAGCACUAGCAUGGAAAACAUAAAUGCACUGUAAUUUGUGUUGUAUAAAUUGCCUUAGUCGGUGUACUUUUAGUAAAGUACUUCAGUACAACAACUUUUUUUUUAGUGACACAAACAAUGAAUUUACUGACAUGGAAUUCAGAUUACCUGCAGUAUUGAUUGAUAUUCUUGAUUUCAGAAAUCUUGCUAAAUAAUGAGUCUAGGUAUUCACAAGGUAUGUUUUCAUGGAGAUCUUGUAAAAUUCCUCAUCAAUUGAGCCAGUUUAAAAAAAAAAAAAAUUACAUCAUAUAUGUGAUGCGUUUAGAAGGCCUGAAAGUUCCUGUAGAUUAGCUCAGUCUGGCGAAUUUAUUCAUUCGAGGCCUGUUCAUAUGAAAUGAGUUUGUAACCCUUUUUUCUCUUUACCAUAUGAUGUAGCAGUAACUUGAUUCUGAAAUUGCUCUCUACCUACUGCAGAACUUGUGGGAGGCACAGAAGAGAUUUUUGUGACCUGCACAAAUCUUUAUAGGAAAAAAAUAGCUGCAUGCUGACUUAGGGGCAGUACAAAAGAACUGUAAAAAUGUUUGAUUGCUGCUUAAACCUAAACAGGGACAUAUAAAAACAAUAAUAAAUAUGUAUGCAGCCCUCUAAUAUGCUUGGUUGCACAAUUUUUGACUGGAAAAGCAUAAGUGAGUAAUUAGAUAAUUGCUGCCUUGAUUGAGCUUAAUAGGAAACAUUUCAAUUAGGCUAAAACUACACAGAAAGGAAGUAGGCUUUUACAAAGGGAAACAUUCCAUGUCAUGCAACUGUCAGCUCUUGCCCACGGUAAGAGAUGGGAUUAAGUGGAUCUAUGCAAAGGAAACAAAAAGAAGGAAAGAAAAAGAAAAAAUGGUUGCAGCAAUUAGACUUGUACUUAAACAGUGUCUUCUGGUACAAUUUCUUGACUAUUCUAGUUCUGAUAAUGUAGUUCAUGCAAACCCCUUGGAUGCAACAAAUUAUGAUGUUAAAUCCAUGGGAGCGGUAACAUUUCUGCUUUUAAAAAAGAUCCAAAAGAGAGAAAAGUGUUCCUAUUCUACAUUAACAUUUUAUUUUCAGAUUAUCCCAAACUGCCAGAAGUUUAGUGAAGCCUGAUACUUUUUUUUCAUUUGGAAGGUGUCCUUGCACUAUCCAGAAUAUGACUAUUUGUCUGCAGGGUUACUUGCUUGUUUUUGCUAGGAAUUUGUUCCCUCUCAGCGGUGAAAAAGUCAAUACCUAAGCCAGGUUUGUGAGAAAGCUGAGGCCCAGUUUCUCCUGGGUGGUUUCAGAAAUUCAGGUGUACCCAUUGCCACAUGUGGAAGUCUGCUUUACCAGAUGUUGUCUGUCAAUGUUAGUGCCAUUCUGGCUUCAUACCAACAACCUGGAAGGGAGUUUCUUCCAUGACUGGCUGCUGUACUGAAAGAAAGCUGAACAGAUACUCUGCUUCCUUCUGCUCUUAUCUCCCCUCCUCCCUGCCCGCCCCCCCCCCCCCCCCAUGCUGCACUGUUUCCAAGAAUCAUAGAAUCACUGUAUCAUCAAGAUUGGACAAGACAUCUAAGGUCAUCUAGUUCAAACGUCAGCCCAUCACUACCAUGCCCCUCAGUGUCACAUCUACACAUUUCUUGGAACGCUUCCAGGGACAGUGUCUCCACCACCUCCCUGUCAUCCAGGAGAAUGCUGUGGGGAAACAGUGUCAAAGGCUUGAAGUCUAGGUAGACUACAUUCCAUUCGCAGCUGCUCUUUCAUCCAUCAAGUGGGUCACCUGGUUAUGGAAGAAGACCUGGUUGGUCAAGCAGGGAAUGCCUUUAUGAAAGCAUGCUAGUUAAGCCUGAUCCCUUGGUUGUCCCAUGCAUGCUGUGUGAUUGCACUCAAGAUGACCUGCUCUAUGUCCUUUCCUGAUAUAAAGGUCAAGCUGACAGGCCUGUAGUUCCCUGGAUCCUCCUUCCAACCUUCUUGUAUAUAGAUAACUCUUCAGUCAUCUGGGACCUCCCCACUUGACCAGGACUGCUGAUAAAUGAUGGGAAUUACCUUGGCAAGUACUUCCACCAGCUUCCCCAGUACCAUGAGGUGGAUCCAAUCCAGUCCCAUACACUUAUGAUAGUCUAGGUGGAAUAACAGGUCACUGUUUCCUCCUGAAUUGUGGGUGGUUUAUUCUGCUCCCCAAACACAUCUUCCAGCUCAGAGGGCUGAGUACCUUGAGGGUAACUGUUCUGACUAUUAAAAACAGAAGCAAAGACACUGAGUGCUUCAGUCUUUUUUCCAUUCUUGGUGGUAAUGUUCCCCACCACAUCCAGUAAAGGAUGGGAAUUUUACUUGGCCUUUCUUUUGUUGUCAAUGUAUUUGAAAAACACUUUUUGUUAUCUUUUGCACUGGUGACCAGAUUAAGUUCUGGCUGGGCUUUCAACUUUUUAAUUUUCUCGCUGCAUAUCCUAGAUAAAGUCAUGCUCAGCAAUUACUGAACUGAAAGUCUGUUACUACUCCCAUGGGCCCAGAAAUCCACCUGGGGACACAGAGCAGUGAAAGGACUAAGAUUACUUGGAAAGCAUACAGGAGAGUAAGAAGCACAUAUGAUGUACAUAAGCACUACUUUUCUCUUUGAAAAACACAUUUUUUUUUUUCCUUAUUCCACAUGUCUGGACAAGUGGCUCCUAAACAGCUAUCUAAUCUUUCUACCUAUUCAAUCAUUUGAACAGCAAUUUGUUCAUUCUAUCUGUUCAAGCUAUCUUUCAAGCUAGCAAUUAAAAAUGUAUGCUCUUUACUCACAAGCCCUAUGUAAGCCACCAAGUCUCUAUAUGACACUGCCACUGGGUUUGGUAGUCUAUUUUUGGGUAUAACAGAGGUUUUCUAAGCUGAAGAUGGCCAUGCUUGGUUAGUACCCACAUCAGUGACUCUGAGAAGGACACAUUUAUGUUGUGAGCAAAUCCCAUUUUAGGGAUGAAGGAUCAGUCAAGAUGUAUGGCUCCUGGCCAUAGGAGUUGUGGUCAGUGCUGGAAGAUAUUAAAUAAUCUGUGAUGAUGAUGAUGACAGGAGAUGCUGUGUCACUUAAGGAGAUGUCCUCUGGGAACCAUACCUAAUACUGACAACAAAUAUUUCUUUGUUAAAGAUGCUACAGGAGUCUGUGACUGUGCAGUUCCAUAUUGUGGUAUUUUAUAAUACAGGCUUGAGCGUUUCAAUG
rnacentral:lncRNA from 1 species